rnacentral:rRNA from 1 species
GUGGGGAAUCUUGCGCAAUGGGCGAAAGCCUGACGCAGCCAUGCCGCGUGAAUGAUGAAGGUCUUAGGAUUGUAAAAUUCUUUCACCGGGGACGAUAAUGACGGUACCCGGAGAAGAAGCUCCGGCUAACUUCGUGCCAGCAGCCGCGGUAAUACGAAGGGGGCUAGCGUUGCUCGGAAUUACUGGGCGUAAAGGGCGCGUAGGCGGACAGCUUAGUCAGAGGUGAAAGCCCAGGGCUCAACCUUGGAAUUGCCUUUGAUACUGGCUGUCUUGAGUUUGGGAGAGGUGAGUGGAACUCCGAGUGUAGAGGUGAAAUUCGUAGAUAUUCGGAAGAACACCAGUGGCGAAGGCGACAUACUGGCUCAUUACUGACGCUGAGGCGCGAAAGCGUGGGGAGCAAACAGGAAUAGAAACCCCGGUAGUCC